rnacentral:rRNA from 1 species
UACGAAGGGGGCUAGCGUUGCUCGGAAUCACUGGGCGUAAAGGGUGCGUAGGCGGGUUUUUAAGUCAGAGGUGAAAUCCUGGAGCUCAACUCCAGAACUGCCUUUGAUACUGAGAAUCUUGAGUAUGGGAGAGGUGAGUGGAACUGCGAGUGUAGAGGUGAAAUUCGUAGAUAUUCGCAAGAACACCAGUGGCGAAGGCGGCUCACUGGCCCAUAACUGACGCUGAGGCACGAAAGCGUGGGGAGCAAACAGG